rnacentral:rRNA from 1 species
AGAGUUUGAUCAUGGCUCAGGAUGAACGCUGGCGGCGUGCCUAAUACAUGCAAGUCGAACGCUUCACUUCGGUGAAGAGUGGCGAACGGGUGAGUAAUACAUAAGUAACCUGGCAUCUACAGGGGGAUAACUGAUGGAAACGUCAGCUAAGACCGCAUAGGUGUAGAGAUCGCAUGAACUCUAUAUGAAAAGUGCUACGGGACUGGUAGAUGAUGGACUUAUGGCGCAUUAGCUUGUUGGUAGGGUAACGGCCUACCAAGGCGACGAUGCGUAGCCGACCUGAGAGGGUGACCGGCCACACUGGGACUGAGACACGGCCCAGACUCCUACGGGAGGCAGCAGUAGGGAAUUUUCGGCAAUGGGGGAAACCCUGACCGAGCAACGCCGCGUGAAGGAAGAAGUAAUUCGUUAUGUAAACUUCUGUCAUAGAGGAAGAACGGUGGAUAUAGGGAAUGAUAUCCAAGUGACGGUACUCUAUAAGAAAGCCACGGCUAACUACGUGCCAGCAGCCGCGGUAAUACGUAGGUGGCGAGCGUUAUCCGGAAUUAUUGGGCGUAAAGAGGGAGCAGGCGGCACUAAGGGUCUGUGGUGAAAGAUCGAAGCUUAACUUCGGUAAGCCAUGGAAACCGUAGAGCUAGAGUGUGUGAGAGGAUCGUGGAAUUCCAUGUGUAGCGGUG